AUGGGACCUGUCACCCUCCUCACAAUCCUGCUGGCUGUUCUCCCAGAUGUCUGUGCGCAAGUGCAGCUGGUGCAGUCCAAGGCAGAGGUAAAGAGGCCCGGAGAGUCUCUGAAGAUCUCUUGUAAGACUUCUGGAUACAGCUUUACUAGCAACUGGAUCAGCUGGAUUCGCCAGAUGUCUGGGAAAGGCCUGGAGUGGAUGGGGAGUAUCGAUCCUGGUGAUUCAGAAACCCACUAUAGCCCGUCUUUUCAAGGUCAGGUCACCAUCUCUGCCGACAGCUCUGUCAGCACUGCCUACUUACAGUGGCGCAGCCUGAAGAUCUCAGACACUGCCAUGUAUUACUGUGCAAGAGACACACAGAGAGAAAACAGUGCUGAGGGUGUCUAA